rnacentral:lncRNA from 7 species
GGAGUUCUUCCAUCAGUCCUUGACGCUGCUCUGUGAUCCAGAGUGAUGAAUACAUCCUAAAGGUCCAAAGGGGACUUUAACUCUCUGGUUGAAAUGAAACACCAAGAUGUGUGAAUGAAGGUUUGCAAUCAGUCCUGCCACUUGCAAUCUCUCUGGGAUUCUUAGGGAAGAUGAGGUAUGGGCAAUGACUGAGUGGGGAACUAGAAGAGAGUUCAUGAUGCUUAUCAGCCCAGCUGGGGGAAUUCUUGAACUGUCAUUUCUUCUUCUGUUUGUUAACAGAGUCAGGGGUGAAGACAAACAGAUACCAGUGCAUCUGAAAAUUUUGCCUAGUCUGCUGAAAGUUUCAUUGAUGGUAAUCCAGACCCUGUCUGUGUAUGUUCAGUAACCGCAUAAAAAUAUUUUUUCAUAUGCAGUAACUUCACAAGCAAAAUAUAUAUAUAUAUUUUGUAACAGAUUAAUUAUUUGACUAGCUACUUAUAGAAUAUUUUUCAAAGUACUGGAAGCACAUGAGACAGUUUACUCUUCUACAGAUGGAGCUCAUGAAGCUAAUUAACAUAAGGUAUUUGAUUAAAAUACUCGUUUAGAAUAAAGCCUAGCACAGAUAAAAUAGCCUGAAUUGUCAUGGUCUCAGAUUGCUAGACCUUCUAAUUGCUUAAUUUUGCUCUGAAAUAGUUAACGUAUAAGUACCUGAAGUGCUGCUCUUAUAACUAGAGCAUGAAAAUAAGUGGGGGUUCUUUAAGUGAGUAAGCAAAAAGAAGGUUAAUGUUGCACAAAACUGUAAGCUGUUUCCAGUGCUUGAAGAUGUUAGUGAUGUGGGUAGAAGAACUUGGAAACCUGGAGAGGAAAAUGUAGAGGGUAUUUCUCUGGAACUCACUGUCUUCCGUUUCGUUGGAGUCCUGACUCCUAAGGAAAGGUAAUGCCUUUCCCUUAGUAUGUUUGAUUAUUUCUGGAAGUCAAAACAGUCUUUCUGAAUAUAGCCACACUGGGUAACUCUAAUAAUCCCAUGAGAAAUGCUCUCUUUGUUAUUCUGCUUUAAUAAGGUCUGUAUAUGUAAGUACAAAACGAAUGCGUCUCAUGUGACACCCUGUGUUUCUGCAAGUAGACAUAAAUUGAUCCAUCUUCACUUACAUUUACGUCUUCUAAAUCUGAAUCAGGAUACUGAUCUGCUUGAGAUUCCUGAGCUGUGUUUUCUGGAGUGUAAAACAAUUUGAAAUAAAUAUAAUCUUUAUCCUG